UACGGGGGGGGCAAGCGUUGUUCGGAAUUACUGGGCGUAAAGGGCGCGUAGGCGGCACCGCAAGUCGACUGUGAAAUCUCCGGGCUUAACUCGGAAAGGUCAGCCGAUACUGCGGGGCUAGAGUGCAGAAGGGGCAACUGGAAUUCUCGGUGUAGCGGUGAAAUGCGUAGAUAUCGAGAGGAACACCUGCGGCGAAGGCGGGUUGCUGGGCUGACACUGACGCUGAUGCGCGAAAGCCAGGGGAGCGAACGGG
rnacentral:rRNA from 1 species